rfam:Schistosoma haematobium scaffold1693_7, whole genome shotgun sequence.
AUUCAGCAGAAGAGUCUCGAAUAGAACUAAACGUCCGUCCCGAAU